CUGUCAGCUUUAGCUAAACUUACACAUGCAAGUAUCCGCAGACCUGUGAGGAUGCCCUUUGCUCCCUGGAUGGGAGCGAGGAGCCGGUAUCAGGCGCGAGACUCCUCAGCCCACGACACCUUGUUUAGCCACACCCCCAAGGGACUUCAGCAGUGACAGACAUUAAGCUAUGAGUGAAAACUUGACCUAGUUAGUGCUAACAGGGCUGGUAAAUCUCGUGCCAGCCACCGCGGUUAUACGAGGGGCCCAAGUUGACAGCCGCCGGCGUAAAGAGUGGUUAAGACGCACCCCAUCUAAAGUCGAACAAUUUUGAAGCUGUCAUACGCCCAUGAAAACAUGAAGCCCAACUACGAAAGUGACUUUAACAUCUUCUGACCCCACGAAAGCUAGGACACAAACUGGGAUUAGAUACCCCACUAUGCCUAGCCCUAAACAUUGAUAGUAGUUCACCCAACUAUCCGCCCGGGUACUACGAGCAGCAGCUUAAAACCCAAAGGACUUGGCGGUGCUUUAGAUCCACCUAGAGGAGCCUGUUCUAGAACCGAUAAUCCCCGUUUAACCUCACCCUUCCUUGUCCCUUCCGCCUAUAUACCGCCGUCGUCAGCCCACCUCAGUGAGAGUCUAGUCGUGAGCAAAACUGGUACUACCCUAAACGCCAGGUCGAGGUGUAGCGAAUGGAGGGGGAAGAAAUGGGCUACAUUCAAUGUCCUACAAUGAAUACGGAUGGCAAAUUGAAAAAUUCACCUGAAGGAGGAUUUAGCAGUAAGCAAGAAGUAGAGUGUCUUGCUGAAUCUGGCCCUGAAGCGCGCACACACCGCCCGUCACUCUCCCCAAAAACACCAAAUUCAUAACUAAUAAGCCAAAAAUAGUAAAGGGGAGGU
rnacentral:ncRNA from 1 species